GAUGAACGCUAGCGGCAGGCUUAACACAUGCAAGUCGAGGGGCAGCAUGAGGGUUAGCAAUAACCCUUGAUGGCGACCGGCGCAAGGGUGCGUAACGCGUGAGCAACUUGCCCGUUUCAGGGGGAUAACCGGUGGAAACGCCGCCUAAUACCCCAUAGUAUCAUGAGGAGGCAUCUCCAUAUGAUUAAAGAAAUUCGGAAACGGAUAGGCUCGCGUGACAUUAGCUAGAUGGCGGGGUAACGGCCCACCAUGGCGACGAUGUCUAGGGGUUCUGAGAGGAAGGUCCCCCACACUGGAACUGAGACACGGUCCAG
rnacentral:rRNA from 1 species